ensembl:lncRNA
UCUCAGUUGCGGCAUGCGAACUCUUAGUUGCAGCAUGUAAGAUCUGGUUCCCUGACCAGGGAUUGAAGCUGGGUCCCCUGCAUUGGGAGCUCAGAGUCUCAGCCACUGGAUCACCAAGGACCUUCCAGGAGGAGCAAUUUUAAAGAGGAGAAAGUGGUCGUCUCAGUUUGGGAUAGUAAAAAAGGUUGUGCUGGGUCUUCGUUGGUGCAAGCAGGUUUUCUCUAGUCGUGGUCAGCAGGGGCUACCCUGUAGUUGUGAUGCGUGGGCUUCUCACUGCAGCGGCUUCUCUUGUUGCAGAGCACAGGUUCUAGGCCCGUGGGCUCAGUAGUUGAGGUCUGAUGUUCCAUGUGCAGUAGGAGGACAUGAGUUGGUGCACGGGGACUCAGUGCCAUGAACUAAAAAGCCACUGAACAGUUCCCUAGUGACUGGAGUUAAUCAGAUUUCACCAAAUGCCUAACCACGUUGUGGAAGAGAGUCUACAUGUGGGAGACACUGCUCGCUGCAUCUCCAUUUAAUCUCUUUCUCCUUUGAAGCAACGUAUUUCCCACAGGAUCCCCUGACUUUCUGAGAUUAUGUAUUUUGCUGUUGGGGAGCUUUUUUUCCUCCUCAGUUCUACAAUAAACUCUUUGUUGUUUAACAUUCUAUUAACCACAACCCUCUAGUAACCGGCACAUCUGUAAGUCUCCAGUAUAAUAAUUGUUGUUCAUAACCAUGACCCUGGGGCUCUGCGUGGUCUCAGAUGCUUCCAAGUCAUCAAAGGGAAUGCACUAAAAUGAUUUUGCAUUCCCAGAGCACACAUCAACCAACCACAGAGGGAAGGAGUCCAGAUAAGUGUUAGGUAG